GAUGAAUGUUGGCGGCGUGCCUAAUACAUGCAAGUCGAGCGAACAGACGAGGAGCUUGCUCCUCUGACGUUAGCGGCGGACGGGUGAGUAACACGUGGAUAACCUACCUAUAAGACUGGGAUAACUUCGGGAAACCGGAGCUAAUACCGGAUAAUAUAUUGAACCGCAUGGUUCAAUAGUGAAAGACGGUUUUGCUGUCACUUAUAGAUGGAUCCGCGCCGCAUUAGCUAGUUGGUAAGGUAACGGCUUACCAAGGCAACGAUGCGUAGCCGACCUGAGAGGGUGAUCGGCCACACUGGAACUGAGACACGGUCCAGACUCCUACGGGAGGCAGCAGUAGGGAAUCUUCCGCAAUGGGCGAAAGCCUGACGGAGCAACGCCGCGUGAGUGAUGAAGGUCUUCGGAUCGUAAAACUCUGUUAUUAGGGAAGAACAAAUGUGUAAGUAACUAUGCACGUCUUGACGGUACCUAAUCAGAAAGCCACGGCUAACUACGUG
rnacentral:rRNA from 1 species